rnacentral:rRNA from 1 species
GUAAACGAUGAGAACUAGCUGUUGGGCAGUUAUGCUUAGUGGCGAAGUUAACGCGAUAAGUUCUCCGCCUGGGGAGUACGGCCGCAAGGUUAAAACUCAAAUGAAUUGACGGGGGCCCGCACAAGCGGUGGAGCAUGUGGUUUAAUUCGAUGCAACGCGAAGAACCUUACCUACCCUUGACAUCCUGCGAAUCCUAUAGAGAUAUGGGAGUGCCUUCGGGAAUGCAGAGACAGGUGCUGCAUGGCUGUCGUCAGCUCGUGUUGUGAAAUGUUGGGUUAAGUCCCGUAACGAGCGCAACCCUUGUCCUUAGUUGCCAGCAAUUCGGUUGGGGACUCUAAGGAGACUGCCGGUGACAAACCGGAGGAAGGUGGGGACGACGUCAAGUCAUCAUGGCCCUUACGGGUAGGGCUACACACGUGCUACAAUGGUCGGUACAGAGGGCAGCGAAGGGGCGACCUGGAGCCAAUCUUUUAAAGCCGAUCGUAGUCCGGAUCGCAGUCUGCAACUCGACUGCGUGAAGUCGGAAUCGCUAGUAAUCGCGGAUCAGAAUGUCGCGGUGAAUACGUUCCCGGGCCUUGUACACACCGCCCGUCACACCAUGGGAGUGAAUUGCACCAGAAGUAGCUAGGCUAACCUUGGAGGCCGGUUACCACGGUGUGGUUCAUGACUGGGGUGAAGUCGUAACAAGGUAA